rnacentral:rRNA from 1 species
AUUGAACGCUGGCGGAAUGCUUUACACAUGCAAGUCGAACGGCAGCACGGACUUCGGUCUGGUGGCGAGUGGCGAACGGGUGAGUAAUACAUCGGAACGUGCCCAAUCGUGGGGGAUAACGUAGCGAAAGCUACGCUAAUACCGCAUACGAUCUAAGGAUGAAAGCGGGGGAUCGCAAGACCUCGCGCGAUUGGAGCGGCCGAUGGCAGAUUAGGUAGUUGGUAGAGUAAAGGCCUACCAAGCCGACGAUCUGUAGCUGGUCUGAGAGGAUGAUCAGCCACACUGGGACUGAGACACGGCCCAGACUCCUACGGGAGGCAGCAGUGGGGAAUUUUGGACAAUGGACGCAAGUCUGAUCCAGCCAUUCCGCGUGCAGGAUGAAGGCCCUCGGGUUGUAAACUGCUUUUGUACAGAACGAAAAGGCUCUGGUUAAUACCUAGAGCUCAUGACGGUACCGUAAGAAUAAGCACCGGCUAACUACGUGCCAGCCGCCGCGGUAA